AUUCCAGCUCCAAUAGCGUAUAUUAAAGUUGUUGCAGUUAAAAAGCUCGUAGUUGGAUUUCUGGGCUGAGCGACCGGUCCGCCGCUGUGCGGUGUGUACUCGUGUUCGACUCGGCUCAUCCUUGUGGGGAAACGCAUUUCGGCAUUAGGUUGUCGAGGCGGGGAACCGCAUCGUUUACUGUGAAAAAAUUAGAGUGUUUAAAGCAGGCAAAUUGCUGUGAAUACAUUAGCAUGGAAUAAUAACAUAGGACUUUGGUUCUAUUUUGUUGGUUGGAGGCCAAGGUAAUGAUUAAUAGGGAUAGUUGGGGGUAUUCAUAUUUAAUUGUCAGAGGUGAAAUUCUUGGAUUUAUGAAAGAUGAACUCAUGCGAAAGCAUUUACCAAGGAUGUUUUCAUCG
rnacentral:rRNA from 1 species